rnacentral:rRNA from 1 species
UACAGAGGUCCCAAGCGUUGUUCGGAUUCACUGGGCGUAAAGGGUGCGUAGGUUGUUCGGUAAGUCAGACGUGAAAUCCCGCAGCUCAACUGCGGAACUGCAUCUGAUACUAUCGGACUGGAGGAGUGGAGAGGAGACUGGAAUUCUCGGUGUAGCAGUGAAAUGCGUAGAUAUCGAGAGGAACACCAGUGGCGAAGGCGAGUCUCUGGACACUUCCUGACACUGAGGCACGAAAGCCAGGGGAGCAAACGGG